GAUGAACGCUGGCGGCGUGCCUAAUACAUGCAAGUCGAGCGAAUGGAUUAAGAGCUUGCUCUUAUGAAGUUAGCGGCGGACGGGUGAGUAACACGUGGGUAACCUGCCCAUAAGACUGGGAUAACUCCGGGAAACCGGGGCUAAUACCGGAUAAUAUUUUGAACUGCAUGGUUCACAAUUGAAAGGAGGCUUCGGCGGUCACUUAUGGAUGGACCCGCGUCGCAUUAGCUAGUUGGUUAGGUAGCGGCUCACCAAGGCAACGAUGCGUAGCCGACCUGAGAGGGUGAGCGGCCACACUGGGACUGAGACACGGCCCAGACUCCUACGGGAGGCAGCAGUAGGGAAUCUUCCGCAAUGGACGAAAGUCUGACGGAGCAACGCCGCGUGAGUGAUGAAGGCUUUCGGGUCGUAAAACUCUGUUGUUAGGGAAGAACAAGUGCUAGUUGAAUAAGCUGGCACCUGGACGGUACCUAACCAGAAAGCCACGGCUAACUACGUGCCAGCCGCCGCCGUAA
rnacentral:rRNA from 1 species